rnacentral:misc_RNA from 1 species
GAGUUUUCAACUCCCAAACCCCUGUGAACUUAUACCAUUACGUUGCUUCGGCGGGACUCGCCCCGGCUGCCCUCGCGGCGGACCGGACUCGGGCGCCCGCCGGAGGACCAAAACUCUUCUGUAUUUUUAUGGCAUGUCUGAGUGGAUUUUAUACAAAUGAAUCAAAACUUUCAACAACGGAUCUCUUGGUUCU